CGCUAGUGCAAUUUACCAUGGUUUCCGUGUCCAACUUUGACUGUCCGUCUUAUAUGAAAUUUUUUUAUAAUUUGUAUUUUCAUUCUUGUUAGGUGAUAAAACAUGAUUAAUAUUUUAUGCGUGACUUGUCUUUUUAAUUUUUUUCAUAAUUUUUUCAAAUAAGACGGACGGUCAAACGACACGGAAACU
rfam:Oryza rufipogon genomic scaffold, chr08